rnacentral:rRNA from 1 species
GACGAAGGGGGCUAGCGUUGUUCGGAGUUACUGGGCGUAAAGGGUGUGUAGGCGGUUGUUUAAGUUUGGUGUGAAAUCUCCCGGCUCAACUGGGAGGUGCGCCGAAUACUGAAUGACUAGAGUGUGGGAGAGGUGAGUGGAAUUCCUGGUGUAGCGGUGAAAUGCGUAGAUAUCGGAAGGAACAUCAGUGGCGAAAGCGACUUCCUGGACCAGUACCAACGUUCAGGCACGAAAGCGUGGGGAGCAAACAGGAAUUAGACUACCCCGGGUACGUCCAAGC